rnacentral:rRNA from 1 species
AUUGAACGCUGGCGGCAGGCCUAACACAUGCAAGUCGAGCGGAUGAGUGGAGCUUGCUCCAUGAUUCAGCGGCGGACGGGUGAGUAAUGCCUAGGAAUCUGCCUGGUAGUGGGGGACAACGUUUCGAAAGGAACGCUAAUACCGCAUACGUCCUACGGGAGAAAGCAGGGGACCUUCGGGCCUUGCGCUAUCAGAUGCGCCUAGGUCGGAUUAGCUAGUAGGUGAGGUAAAGGCUCACCUAGGCGACGAUCCGUAACUGGUCUGAGAGGAUGAUCAGUCACACUGGAACUGAGACACGGUCCAGACUCCUACGGGAGGCAGCAGUGGGGAAUAUUGGACAAUGGGCGAAAGCCUGAUCCAGCCAUGCCGCGUGUGUGAAGAAGGUCUUCGGAUUGUAAAGCACUUUAAGUUGGGAGGAAGGGCAGUAAGUUAAUACCUUGCUGUUUUGACGUUACCAACAGAAUAAGCACCGGCUAACUUCGUGCCAGCAGCCGCCGUAACAC